CUCGAGGUGGCUGCUUGGGACUUCCUCCUCCAAGUCGUGGCUCUGAUGCCGAUGAACAUUCAGGAGGACUAGGAUGCCAUUUCCUGGCACCUUGAGCCUUCCAGCCGCUUCUCCACGAAGUCCCUGUAUGCGGUCAUUGAUCCAUCGACGGCCCCGGAACCGUUUAGCCUGAUAUGGGACAUCCGCCUUCCUCUGAAGAUCCGGAUCUUUCUGUGGCAAUGGAUCCGCGGGCGCCUCCCCUCUGGGAUCGAAGUCCUCAAGCGUAACGCCCCGGGCGAUGGGCUCUGUCCC
rnacentral:rRNA from 1 species